rnacentral:pre_miRNA from 1 species
CGGGGGAGGCGGGAUCCUGGGCUGUGUCCCGGCGCCCUGUGCUCCGGGGCCUGCGCUGUUGGAUUCGCGCUCCCGGGCCGCAGCCCCCU